GGAGAGUAAACAAGGCAUGCUGUGGGGGUUGAUGGGCUUGGAGGAGGCCAUGCUCUUAUAGGGUGUGACAGCUCAUCAACGAGAGGCAAUAACCUUUCCAUCUGACCCCAGUUCAGGUUCUCUGACCAAUGAACAUGAGAAAGGAAAGCACUCCGCCCCUACCCCAACCACCACCUCACCACCACCACACAAGGACAACCCUCAUUCAAAUGGAGAUAUUAAAAAUAUCAAUCUCAGAAGGCUUUUGAAAAUAAACUUAAUUAUCCAAA